AGUGAACGCUGGCGGUAGGCCUAACACAUGCAAGUCGAACGGCAGCACAGUAAGAGCUUGCUCUUACGGGUGGCGAGUGGCGGACGGGUGAGGAAUACAUCGGAAUCUACUUUUUCGUGGGGGAUAACGUAGGGAAACUUACGCUAAUACCGCAUACGACCUAUGGGUGAAAGCAGGGGAUCUUCGGACCUUGCGCGAUUGAAUGAGCCGAUGUCGGAUUAGCUAGUUGGCGGGGUAAAGGCCCACCAAGGCGACGAUCCGUAGCUGGUCUGAGAGGAUGAUCAGCCACACUGGAACUGAGACACGGUCCAUACUCCUACGGGAGGCAGCAGUGGGGAAUAUUGGACAAUGGGCGCAAGCCUGAUCCAGCCAUACCGCGUGGGUGAAGAAGGCCUUCGGGUUGUAAAGCCCUUUUGUUGGGAAAGAAAAGCAGCAGGUUAAUACCCCGCUGUUCUGACGGUACCCAAAGAAUAAGCACCGGCUAACUUCGUG
rnacentral:rRNA from 1 species